GCCCUGCUCGAAGCCACCGUUGGCGGCCGCCGCCGCGUGCUAGGCCCGGGUGCGCGGCGUCGUUCGGCUGCUGUGCUGCCACUCAGCUGUCAGCCUUCCAUCAUCGGCCCGUUGGCCUGGGUCCCCAACUGCCAGUCAACUGUCAUCGGGUGGGCAGAGCUCUGCGUUCUGGUGCCCGCGUUUACACGUCUCCCGCAUGGGCCCCACGCGGUGCCAAUUCAAAUGCUACAUGCUUGUCUUCAAAGAAGCCAUCAGCAGAUCCUUGUUGGGUGACAACGAGGGGUCAUCUCCUUCACCUGGGCCCUGGUCCUUGCAGACACCUUCUCGGGCAAGAGCAAGAGGCAUGAGCUGUUCAAGCCGGCCAAAGCACGAAGACCGUUUCAGAGUUAUGAAGCUAUUUGUGGAGCAAAGGGACAGAGACUAAAAAGGAAGAGUACAAGCUACUUAGUGUGGACGAGCAUAAGUCAGUAGGUACCAGGACCAGCCUCAUUCUGGGUGUCCCCUCCUGAAUGUCACCAGAGAGAAAGCCGAAGAAAAGGUGUCAGGAAUGGUUUAAUCCAAGGCCUCACUAACCACUUGGAAAGACACCAACUGAAGACACUGCUGCUGUCUGAAGAGAGGACUUGGUCGCCACCCUCAAGGCUUGCCCAUCUCGCUAGUCUCCCGAGAAACUUCGUGGUUGGCACAUCCUAAGGAAACUAAAAUACAAAGAAAGAAGUGACCAAAGGAUAGACAAGAGAGAAAUGGGCAUCGGCUCCAAGCUUUGAACCCAGCAGAGGUGUUUGCGGUAGGAAGCGGCAGUGGACACACAUCAUGGGAUUACUGUCAAGCAGCCACCGUGGAACAAGUGUCUUAGAUGCUGCCAAAUCGCCUCAGGCCUCCAAGAAGCGCUGAGAUCAGUCAUGUCCUCAGGACCGCACUGCUUUCUCACAUGAAGAGCCAGAAGUGGACUGCCAACUCCAUCGGAGCCACUUGGGGACAUUCAGUGUAGAGGGGGGUUGCAGGCUGCCCCAGAGAUGGCAAACAUCUGCACCCCCAGCCUGUUCCUGGAGGCUUGGGGCUGGCACUGGGGCAGGAAGCUGCCUCACCUCACACAGUGAGUCACAGGCAAUGCCCACUCCCAGGAGCCUGUGCCUCCCCAGGCAGGUAGGAGUGCAUCCCAGAUGCUGUCGGCACUGGAGAACAGCUGCCCACUGGGCUUCGUUACGUGGCGAGGCUCUCCCGAAGGUCGUCGCCCUGAAGGAGCCGCACAAAGGACCUGGUGAUGCCAUUCUACAGAUCUGAUUUGUCAGGUGACACGGAGACCCCCAAGAAGACAAAGCCUAAGAGUAGUGGUCCCCAAUUCAAAGCCACCGGUGUGACCCUUCUCCUCUCUAUCCCAGCUCAUCUCGUGGGGCCACCCAUGAUCAGAUCUGACCGCCUGACCCACCACCCCAGCCACGUAACUACCAUCGUGAGAUUAACUUGACCAAGUGAUUACUUGCUGGUA